UGGGGGAUUUUGCGCAAUGGGGGAAACCCUGACGCAGCGACGCCGUGUGAGUGAUGAAGGCUUUCGGGUCGUAAAGCUCUGUCAGGUGGGAAGAAAUAUCUCGAUAUGAAUAGUAUCGGGGUUUGACGGUACCACCAAAGGAAGCACCGGCUAACUCCGUGCCAGCAGCCGCGGUAAUACGGAGGGUGCAAGCGUUGUUCGGAAUUAUUGGGCGUAAAGAGCGUGUAGGCGGUCGAACAAGUCAGAUGUGAAAUCCCUCGGCUCAACCGAGGAAGUGCAUUUGAAACUGUUUGGCUUGAGUACGGGAGAGGAGAGCGGAAUUCCCGGUGUAGAGGUGAAAUUCGUAGAUAUCGGGAGGAACACCGGUGGCGAAGGCGGUUCUCUGGCCCGAUACUGACGCUGAGACGCGAAAGCGUGGGGAGCAAACA
rnacentral:rRNA from 1 species